UCCACGUAGCGGUUUUGAACUUGCGUGCACGCGGCGUCCACGCAUUUGCGGCAGGAAGUACCCAACAUCACAUAGAAUCAUGCACACGCACUUGCGUUAACGCGGCGUCGACUCGCGUCUCAUUUGCGGCGAAAGUUACCGCAAAGUCACCGCUUUUCCCCACAGGAACGCAGCGUGCACGCGAGUAGUUUUUGACAUUUCUCUAUUCUUUUUCUUUCCAACAAGAUUUCUAAUGGGAAAAUCUGCAGAAAGAAUCUGUCAGAGCGAAAUCAAAACAAACAAAAAUACUUCGCAAAUCAGUUCAUUUUGGUUUCGCAAAUUAGUUUGCAAAUAACAAAACGUUUCAAAUCUAACUUUUUUAAAUAAUAGUGCUAGUAAUAGUUCGGAGCAGCAAAUGUUUCUUUCGCUCCUAUGUUAAUACCAGCCGUGAUCAACACACCUUUGGAAAGAAGUGACAAGCAAACAUCCCAGGCUGGCGAAUAGUGUUAAAGUCAACCGAAAUAUGUGUGCGAUAGUGACGUUGAUUGUACCAACUUUAUCAGAAUAAAUUGAUUUCCGAACAGACAGCGAUGUGACAGUUUUGGACUGAAUGACGGAGCAGACGAAAUUCAACCAACAAAGUGUAUUCCGCGGGACCCUACACCAAGGCAGGCGAUACCAGUUCCAUGGGAAGAAUAAUAAAUGAAUGUUGACGGAAGGAUGUCGUCAAACAAUGUGGAUUGCGAUUGCAAAAAGAAACGGGACCACAUGAUGAGAUGGUAGCGAGCCACAGUAAGACUCCGGGAUCUGUGCGACUCUUCUAGUGUUGUGGGGCAACGCUAUUGCGGUCGAACAAAAUAAUGAUUCGUCCCUAUCUAGCCGAUAUAUUAAAUGAUUAAAGAAUCGUACCCCAUAGACAACAUAUGAUGGAUUCAAGAUAAGAACAAUUAAAUGUCUGGAUCCACAAUUAUUCAAGAUUAAUCUAACCCAAUGAAGUAAUAAAUUUAAGUUGGAAAUAAAGAAUAAAGAACAUUAUGAAAUUAUAACAAUAAUUAUUUAUUAUAAUUGUAGAAAAUACAUUGGGAUAAAGCAAAGCAAUGCCAAAUUUUUGCCUCUCUGUAUUGAAAACGUGUUUUCGGAUUGUGUGGCAUGAUUUCAAUUUCACAGCUCUACAAUUAAUUUCGGAAGUUCGAACUUUUCAUUUUAGAAGUAGAUAAUGGGUGACUUUUGAAUCGACAGUGAAUUGAUU